rnacentral:rRNA from 1 species
GGCGUGCUUAACACAUGCAAGUAGCACGAGAACUCUUCUGCUUGCAGAAGAUAGUAAAGUGGCGCACGGGUGAGUAACGCGUGGGUAAUCUACCUCCGAAUCGGGGAUAACCCCGCGAAAGCGGGGCUAAUACCGGAUAAUAUCUUUUAUAUUUCGGUAUUAAAGAUCAAAGGUGGUCUCUACAUGUAAGCUACUGUUUGGAGAUGAGCCCGCGUGCCAUUAGCUUGUUGGUAGGGUAAUGGCCUACCAAGGCUACGAUGGCUAGCUGGUCUGAGAGGAUGAUCAGCCACACUGGAACUGACACACGGUCCAGACUCCUACGGGAGGCAGCAGUGAGGAAUUUUGCGCAAUGGGGGAAACCCUGACGCAGCAACGCCGCGUGAGUGAUGAAGGCUUUCGGGUCGUAAAGCUCUGUCAAGUGGGAAGAACAUGCUUGAUGUUAAUACCAUCUUGCACUGACGGUACCACUGAAGGAAGCACCGGCUAACUCCGUGCCAGCAGCCGCGGUAAUACGGGGGGUGCAAGCGUUAUUCGGAAUUAUUGGGCGUAAAGGGCGCACAGGCGGUCUCUUAAGUCAGAUGUGAAAGCCCGGGGCUUAACCCCGGAAGUGCAUUUGAAACUAAGGGACUUGAGUAUUGGA